rnacentral:tRNA from 1 species
GGGGCCUUAGCUCAGCUGGGAGAGCGCCUGCCUUGCACGCAGGAGGUCAGCAGUUCGAUCCCGCUAGGCUCCA